rnacentral:rRNA from 1 species
GGGUCAGUAGGUUGGUCGUGCCACCGGUACGUACUGGUCUCACUGAUUCCUCCUUCCUGAAGAACCGUAAUGCCAUUAAUUUGGUGUUGCGGGGAAACAGGACUGUUACUUUGAAAAAAUUAGAGUGUUUAAAGCAAGCUAACGCUUGAAUACAUUAGCAUGGAAUAAUGAAAUAGGACGAUCGAUCCCAUUUUGCUGGUUUCUAGGAUUGACGUA